rnacentral:rRNA from 1 species
UACGUAGGGUGCAAGCGUUUGUCCGGAAUUAUUGGGCGUAAAGAGCUCGUAGGCGGUUUGUCGCGUCUGCUUGUGAAAACUCAGGGCUUAACUCUGAGCUUGCAGUGGGUACGGGGCAGACUAGAGUGCGGUAGGGGAGACUGGAAUUCCUGGUGUAGCGGUGAAAUGCGCAGAUAUCAGGAGGAACACCGGUGGCGAAGGCGGGGUCUCUGGGCA